UACAGAGGUCCCAAGCGUUGUUCGGAUUCACUGGGCGUAAAGGGUGCGCAGGCGGCCAUGUGUGUGAGGCGUGAAAGCCCGGGGCUUAACCCCGGAAUUGCACCUCAAACUACAUGGCUAGAGCAUUGGAGAGGGUAGCAGAAUUCAUGGUGUAGCAGUGAAAUGCGUAGAUAUCAUGAGGAAUACCAGUGGCGAAGGCGACUACCUGGCCUGUUCUUGACGCUGAGGCGCGAAAGCUAGGGGAGCAAACGGG
rnacentral:rRNA from 1 species